GAUGAACGCUGGCGGCGUGCCUAAUACAUGCAAGUAGAACGCUGAAGGAAGGAGCUUGCUCUUUCCGGAUGAGUUGCGCACGGGUGAGUAACGCGUAGGUAACCUGCCUGGUAGCGGGGGAUAACUAUUGGAAACGAUAGCUAAUACCGCAUAACAGUAGAUGUUGCAUGAUAUCUACUUAAAAGGUGCAAUUGCACCACUACCAGAUGGACCUGCGUUGUAUUAGCUAGUUGGUGAGGUAACGGCUCACCAAGGCGACGAUACAUAGCCGACCUGAGAGGGUGAUCGGCCACACUGGGACGGAGACACGGCCCAGACUCCUACGGGAGGCAGCAGUAGGGAAUCUUCGGCAAUGGACGGAAGUCUGACCGAGCAACGCCGCGUGAGUGAAGAAGGUUUUCGGAUCGUAAAGCUCUGUUGUAAGAGAAGAACGAGUGUGAGAGUGGAAAGUUCACACUGUGACGGUAUCUUACCAGAAAGGGACGGCUAACUACGUG
rnacentral:rRNA from 1 species